GUAUUAAGUUUUUUUUUUUACUCGUUAAAGUAAAGGGUCAGUCAAAAAAUUUAGUCAAAGGUUUGGUUUAAAGUCCUUUCAAUAAGUGCGUCGGGUGGGGUGUAAUAGAUUAGUCUUUCAAACAAUCCCACAGGUUUCUUAUACGAAACAGGUAACCAAAAAAAUGAAACUACGCCCCUUUCUCUGGUAGCGAUCGGCUUCAUUCUUUUUUUUACUGGAUAUUCGUUAAUGAUCCUUCCGCAGGUUCACCUACGGAAA
rnacentral:misc_RNA from 1 species